AAUAUUGGGCAAUGGGGGAAACCCUGACCCAGCAACGCCGCGUGAAGGAAGAAGGCCUUCGGGUUGUAAACUUCUGUGACAGGGGACGAACACAAUGACGGUACCCUGAGAGGAAGCCACGGCAGACUACGUGCCAGCAGCCGCGGUAAUACGUAGGUGGCGAGCGUUGUCCGGAAUCACUGGGCGUAAAGGGCGCGUAGGCGGCGAUGCAAGUCGCAUGUGAAAUACCAGGGCUCAACCUUGGGGGUGCAUGCGAAACUGUGUUGCUUGAGUGCAGUAGAGGUAAGCGGAAUUCCUGGUGUAGCGGUAAAAUGCGUAGAGAUCAGGAGGAACACCGGUGGCGAAGGCGGCUUACUGGGCUGUAACUGACGCUGAUGCGCGAAAGCGUGGGGAGCAAACAGG
rnacentral:rRNA from 1 species